rnacentral:rRNA from 1 species
CCGUCUUCUGCCGCCCCUCCUCAUCUAGAGCCAGGCUGUGGACGAAGGUCGGUAGGCAGCAGCGGCCGGCGUACCAGGCCCGCUCUUUCCGGCUCCUGGCCUCCCUCACCGGUGUCGGCUCCGUGCUGCAGCCGGAGCUGGGCUCCGACACAGACUUCCCAGCUGCUGCAGCGACGGACUGCUGUCCGCUCUUGCUGCUGUCUGGCUCUCCGGCAGCGGCAGCGGCGGCACUCUCUCCGGUGUCGUUCCGCGUCGCCUCUUGCAGUAGGUCGGCUAGUUUUCUCCGUCCGGUCGGAGAAGCCUCUGAAGAAUUGGGCUGUGCGCGGCAUUGUCAGGUAGAAAGACGUUGCUCAUCACGGUCUACGUCCUGGGUUGAUGGACCGGAGUGCUGCCGCGGGACGGACUGAAAUCUGCAUAGCAUGAAGAGGAUAUCUUAUGGUUAAGCGUGUCGCAGGGGCUGGAGACCUGAAGCUACCACAUGAUCUGGCAGUUGAAGAUCUAGUUAUCAGCGGCGGCCGCUACAAAUUCUAUCCUCUGCUGCAGAUCAUCGCCAAGUCCUACAGCCUGGGUCAUCUCCAUCACCAACGCCUACAGCUUGGGUCUGAACCGCUCUUCUCUACUUCAUGUUUACUGAAUUUACUGAAUGUGCGUAGUCUCUGAACCACUUCUUCCCUGAUUACUGAAUUUUAGUGAAUGUGAGAUGUACUCUUGUAAACUGAGAUGUACCCUAGUAAAGUGUGCUGUCAACAUCACUUCUAGUUUAACUGAAGCAAGCAUACAUCUCUGUCCAGUGUUAGCUAAGGGCUAAGAUAUCUCUGUCCAGUGUUAGCUAAGAGCUAAGAUAUCUCUGUCCAGUAUUAGCUUAGAGAUUGUUGCAAGGAGACAUAUCUAUCCAGUGUUAGCUAAAUUCUCUUGGUCUCACAAUUGGUCUAUCUAUGCGUUGGUCUAUCUAUGCGUUGUCCAAUGAAAAUAUGCAUACACUGUACAGCAACAUAUUGAAAACAUUCGUGUUUCAAUAUAACUGAAUUUUCUGUUACAUACACUCUACACUUCUUCUUUAGCUGAAUUUUCUGUUACAUACACUCUGCAUUUCUGCUUUAACUGAAUUAAUUUUUCAGCUUUUGUACAGCAGCAUACUGAAAACAUUCACAUAUUGACAAAUCAUGACAUUACAAUCUGAUAAAUCAUGCUUGCAAAAUCUGACCAUUUACAUAGUGAACAGAAUUUCAUUUAACAGUAUAUUCAUAGUGAGCUAGCCCCAGCUUGUUGCCCUUAUGGCAGCAAUGAUGAAAUCUUGACCAUUCAUCACCAUGUUUCUUUGAAGAAAGCAAGGAAGAAAAUUUAAAACAAAAGGGCCCAAGAAGGUUCGAACUGAUGACCUUCUGAUCUGCACACAAAUUACAAUUUCUGAAACUGUCAUACACAGGAAUUCUGCACGCCAUCCAAAUUGAUCACUGUGAAAUUUGUCAGUUACAAAUUCUGCACACAAAUCAACAGUGAAGUGAUUGAUUCCUCCCUGUGUUAAUUCUGCUAUACACUAGCCCUGUGAAGUGAUUUAUGGUUACUUCAAAAACAGAAACAAAAUGAUUGUUUCCAAUAAUACUGGAACCAAUUUGUCAGUAGCAAUUUCCUGCCUUGAUUACUUCAAAACAGCAACAAUUUCCUCCCUUGAUUGACUGAAAAUUGGGCAGGUGAUAUUGAUCUGAGUAGGAUUUGAUUAAUUGUUCUCUGAAUUGAUUGAUUCCUCCCUUGAUUGAUCUAGGCAGGUAAUAUUAGGCAGGAUUUGAUUAAUUAUUCUCGGAAUUGAUUGUCUCCUCCCUUAGUUGACUGAACUGAUGCAUAUGGCAGGAUUUGAUUGAUUGGGUAGGAAAAUUACCAACUCCUGCGGCGUCGUGGAAGGAACAGCGCCAGGGAAGGAGCAGCAGUGGCCCCUGCGCUGUCUGACGGACGGUCGAUAGUCGACAGCGUGCUUUGUGAGGUGCUUUGUGAGGUGUAGUGCGGGUUAUUUUGUGCUAAGGCGAGGGGGGUAAUUGCAAAAAGUGCGGCGCUGACCGGCUGUGCUGACUAGGCUCCACUUGUC